GCGGGAGUGGUGUAACGGCAGCCACGCCAGGUUUAGGUCCUGGUGCCUUCGGGCGUAGGGGUUCGACUCCCCUCUCCCGCAC
rnacentral:tRNA from 3 species